rnacentral:rRNA from 1 species
AUGCUAGUGGACCAAUUUGGUAGAUUGAAGGCCUUGAAUCCUGCUUUUUUCUAUGAGUACGAAGUUGACGAUGUUGGUACAUUGGUCCGUUUGUUUUGGGCAUAUGCAUCUAGUAGGAAAAAUUAUGGUCAUUUCAAUGAUGUGGUAUCUUUUGAUUCGACUUACAACACUAACCAAUAUGAAUACAUCUUUGCACCCUUCACUGGAGUUCACCAUCAUAUGCAAAGUGUAUUUUUUGGGGUGGGGUUUCUACUACAUGAGACAACAGACUUGUAUGCUUGGUUGUUCAUGGCGUUUCUUAGAGCAAUGGGUGGGAUUGCACCCAGGCUCAUAAUAACUAUUGAGUGUCUUAGGAUGAAGAAUGCUAUUGGUAAAAUUCUACCAAACACUGCACAUCGAUUGUGUAUGUGGCACAUUAUGGAGAAGGUUCCUGGAAAGGUAUGUCCUGAAUUGAAGAAUGAUCUUGAAUUCUAUGAUAGGCUGAAACAUUGUGUGUGGAAUUCUGAAACACCAUCUGAGUUUGAGGAUAGAUGGAAGUCUUUCAUCACAGAGUUUAAGUUGGAGCACCAUGAGUGGUUUGCUAAAAAGUACAUGCUUCGUGCGACAUGGAUACCAACUUAUUUCAUGAACAUUCCACUAGCUGGUCUUCUUAGGACAACUUCGAUUUCAGAGAGUGCAAACUUCUGCUUAGUUCGCUGA